GACGAACGCUGGCGGCGUGCCUAAUACAUGCAAGUCGAGCGCAGGAAGCCGUCUGAACCCUUCGGGGGGACGACGGUGGAAUGAGCGGCGGACGGGUGAGUAACACGUAAAGAACCUGCCCAUAGGUCUGGGAUAACCACGAGAAAUCGGGGCUAAUACCGGAUGUGUCAUCGGACCGCAUGGUCCGCUGACGAAAGGCGCUCCGGCGUCGCCCAUGGAUGGCUUUGCGGUGCAUUAGCUAGUUGGUGGGGUAACGGCCCACCAAGGCGACGAUGCAUAGCCGACCUGAGAGGGUGAUCGGCCACACUGGGACUGAGACACGGCCCAGACUCCUACGGGAGGCAGCAGUAGGGAAUCUUCCACAAUGGACGAAAGUCCGAUGGAGCAACGCCGCGUGAUCGAUGAAGGCUUUCGGGUCGUAAAGUUCUGUUGUAAGGGAAGAACAAGUGCCGCAGGCAAUGGCGGCACCUUGACGGUACCUUGCGAGAAAGCCACGGCUAACUACGUGCCAGCCGCCGCAGUAA
rnacentral:rRNA from 1 species